ensembl:lncRNA
UGCCAGUCUGGGUUAGUUUCGCCACACCGAUCCCUCUGCUGGUGGUUUGGGGAAUCUACUGCAGGUUUGGGCCAAGCUAAGGCCCAGUGUUUGCCAAAAAAAACUGUGAUGUAUAGCAUGAAUGUCUGUGGUGAAUCCUUAUGACUUCAGACAAAGGCAAAAAAAAUACAGGUCAGACUAGAAUGGUAACAUGUUGCAGUAGGUCAACAGAAUGGCUUUGGUUUAGUUUCAAAUCAUGGACACUGUUCUGUUCAUUCAUGCCAACUCUCAUGCUCUUUCUUUCUCUCUCUCUCUCUCCAUUCAAAAACUCAUUCCAACGUGCGGUGUCUUUUGUACUGAUUAUACCUCGGCUCUAUCUUGACCAUAUAAACAAGGACAUUUCUCAUACAAUAUCUAUCUUGAACUCUCAUACACUCACAUACACACUUAGCGGUGACACCUGUGUUUUGGGUCAUGUGUGAUGGAGGUGUGUGUAGCUGAUGUCCCAGUUUUAGAGGAGCGGUGAGAUGGUAGUUCGGCCAUGAUGGUAGUGCGGGCUGACGGGAUAGCAGAAAGGGGGUCAGCCUGUUUUAUUUAUGGUGGAUAGACACAUGCAGAGAGUGGGUGUGUUGCAGGUGUGUGAGAUGAAUGUACAAGUGUAUGGCAGAGCACCAAGUGAGGAAGGAAAGGCGGAAGGUUUUUUUUCCCUUUUUUUUUAAAUGCAAUAUAGUUCAGAAAACAGUUUUCGAUACAAACUUGACAUUAUGCAGACAAACCCGAAAACCACAGAACUGAAUUAGAUGAGGGGGGGGAAAUGUAGCUUCCUUUUUUUGAGUGUUAGACAGAUAAGGUAAGCUGUCUCGUGGGGAUUGUAUUUUGCUCAUCCAGUGGCACGUCUUUAAAGCCUCCAUUAGCCUUCUGAUCCACCAACCUCAUAUUGUUUUAUUUUUUUAACAGGAGGGUUGCUUCCUCCUUCUGUGACUUCAACUAAUUUUGAGUUGUUAAUACCACUACUAUGAUUAAUUAUUAUAAAACUCUUAUGAUGAUGACGAUGAUUAUUAUUAUUAUUAUUGCUACUGUUAUUACUACUACUGUUACUACUGCUACUUAUUACUACAAACUAUUACUGCUGUCCAUUUUCAGGUACUUGUCUGUAAUACCAGACCUUUCCACCAGAGGUCAGUGUGCUGUGGAGCAUUUUCAUUACGGAAUCAAAACAGAAAAUGUUUGUUGACUUGUGUAUCUACAUCUAAUAUUAGGAAUAAUAAAACAUUGUUUAAAAAGAAAAA